GAGCUGCUCUUUGGGGCGGCCACCAGUUCUACCUCUUCUUUUUUGUUGUUUUUUGUUUUGGGGCGGCUGCCAGGUCUACACGGCAGCCCCUGAGGGCAGAAGCGGCUAUGUGAAUGGCAGGAAACCGGGGGCGGAAGUGACGUCAGGGCGUGCCUUCACUGAGGGCCAAGGCGGCUCCGUGAUUGGCUGGACCAUGAGGACGGAUGUGCCGUUAGGGCGAGACUUCACUGAGGGCAGAAACACUUCGUCAUUGGCUGGGAACUGAGGGCGGAAGUGGCGUCUAGGCGAGCCUUCACUGAAGGCGGAGGUGCUCUGUGAUUGGCUGGAGAAACCCGGGGCGGAAAUGGCGUCAGGGCAUGCCUUCACUGAGGGCGGAAACUCUUUAGGAUUGGCUCGGAGGAACCCAGGGCGGAAGCGGCGUGCAGGGCUUGUUGGCACUGAGGGCGGAAGCCGUCGGGCCGGGCAGGGCUCGGCUCGGGCUGGGCCGGGACGCCAAGGCGCUGUGCUGCAACGAGCAAACUGUGUAUUAUCCCGGGAGUGUAGGCACGGUCUUGUGUAGUAUUGUCAUUCUGCCCCACCACUCUGAUAUCUAACAAAAUAAUACUUUGUGGAUGUUGUCUACGAAUUCUUUCCUUCCUUAUGUAAGAGGACAAUGUGCGUCGCCUAGUUCGUCACAGAGCAUCGCUGAAGUACUGUUUUAUUUGUAUUUGUGAAGACAGCAGAAUCAAAGAUAGCAGCUCGGCGACUCCCACCGAGAUGGUCAUUAAGAUAAAACAGUGAAGUUUCUAGCAUAUAUUAAAAAGCCUGGAGGAAUUAGCAUAGCUUGCAGGAAAGCGUGCUGGAAAGAGAUGAUAUUUGACAGCAAGCGUGAAAAUGUCAUCUUUUUACCAAGACUGAUGAGAACUGAUGCGUCUGCCCUGCGUUUGGAUAGAAGACGCCCUGGAUUUAAAGACGGUGUGUAUUAAAUGAAGUAUGAGAAGAAACAGCUUCUUCGGACACUUGCGCUCCUCUUCUUCAGCUCGUGGAGAAGGCUGACAGCCUGUCUCACUCUCGUCUGUGCUAUCCCACCAGCUCCUUUAGGAGCCCAGCACCGCGUUUGGCCUGUUGCGAUCUUCCCGCUCCCCUCAUUUCUGUGCUGCAACGCCACCAUCCACGAGAAGUCAGACAGGAGAAAAGCUCUUUCCAGAGAGAUGGAGAAGGAAUUAAUUAGACCUCUGCCUCAUCCUGCAAGACCAGAAGACAUGGAGUAACUACGACGUGGGGUGCAUUUCUCUGCUGCACUUGUGGUUUUCCACCUGUGGUUUUUCACUUGUGGUUUUCCACGUGGUUCGCACUGCUUCCAUUAUUGAGAAAACGGUUUGGGAAGCUGUCUGCCACUUCUCAGGAUUUUCUGCCGCCACCUGCUGGCAAAAAAAAUCAGUAACGCAGGUGGAGCCAUGUAGGACUUCUCAGAGGUAAGCCUUCAACGUACGGGGACCCCUAAACUCGUGAGCCGAGCACGCAAGACAAAUGUCCGUGGCACAAAGAUCAAGGACGACUUCUCAGAGGUAAGCAGCUUUCCCUUUGUUUCCCCGUCCUCUCAGGAGCCCUCUUUAUGAUGCUUGUACACACUUCAGGCUCACAACACUCAUUUUCUCCUCUACUUAGUAUUCGCAGUCCCUGCCUAAGCCGUCCUCCCUCCCCCCACUUUCCAAAGACCUGCGUGCUCUGCUCAGGUCCCUCCUGAGGCCUUACAGAUCUUUUAAAUCUGCUCAGCGUUCUUUCCGGCUUGUACUGUGCCAUUAUUUUUUCCCUGCUCCUUUUGAGAAUGUCUGUACCCUUUUCAGAUCUCGAUUGGGUUGGCUUUUUUGGACCCAUCUGCAUGGCCUUUUGUUUUGUAGAUAGUCUACUAAGGUACAUUACUUCUCCGGUGAGUUAUUUUACUACAUUGAAUUGUAUUUUUGUGGUUUGUAAUCUGUUACACUCCUAGAUUAUUUCUACCUAUGUAAAGAAAAGUUUCAGCUAAUUACAGUCAAAACCAGUUUUAGUUACCUACUUGGUCAUAUUGUCGUUUCAAUAAUCAGAACUGAAGCAAAAGCACAGGAAUUGUUGCCUCUAGUAACACUCCACACACUGUUGAGCUAAGCCAAAUAAAAAACGCAGCUGCUGCUCUCUUUAUCCCUUCCUGUGCUUUGCCUCUCCUCUUUCCCAGGUGAUUGGGCAGGGUGCCGGGUUGGGUCUAAUGGUAUAUGAGUUGCAGGCAUCCCAUCAGAGAGCUCAUUCUGCCUGGGGUGCACUUUGGGUAGGUAAACCUUAGGAGGAAUCGGUCAAAGGAAACAGCAACUGUCAAGUUCUUGUUCGGCAACUCGGUGACUGAUUUGAUCUACUUCUCAGAUGUAGAGGCAAAUGGACUGCUCUUUUGAAAUGAUAAAAUAAAAAACAUGAAGUUUGUCAAA